rnacentral:rRNA from 1 species
GACCAGCGGAGGGAUCAUUACCGAGUUUACAACUCCCAAACCCCUGUGAACAUACCUUAAUGUUGCCUCGGCGGAUCAGCCCGCGCCCCGUAAAACGGGACGGCCCGCCAGAGGACCCAAACUCUAAUGUUUCUUAUUGUAACUUCUGAGUAAAACAAACAAAUAAAUCAAAACUUUCAACAACGGAUCUCUUGGUUCUGGCAUCGAUGAAGAACGCAGCAAAAUGCGAUAAGUAAUGUGAAUUGCAGAAUUCAGUGAAUCAUCGAAUCUUUGAACGCACAUUGCGCCCGCUGGUAUUCCGGCGGGCAUGCCUGUUCGAGCGUCAUUUCAACCCUCAAGCCCCCGGGUUUGGUGUUGGGGAUCGGCUCUGCCUUCUGGCGGUGCCGCCCCCGAAAUACAUUGGCGGUCUCGCUGCAGCCUCCAUUGCGUAGUAGCUAACACCUCGCAACUGGAACGCGGCGCGGCCAUGCCGUAAAACCCCAACUUCUGAAUGUUGACCUCGGAUCAGGUAGGAAUACCCGCUGAACUUAAGCAUAUCAAUAAGCGGAGGAAAAGAAACCAACAGGGAUUGCCCUAGUAACGGCGAGUGAAGCGGCAACAGCUCAAAUUUGAAAUCUGGCUUUCGGGCCCGAGUUGUAAUUUGUAGAGGAUACUUUUGAUGCGGUGCCUUCCGAGUUCCCUGGAACGGGACGCCAUAGAGGGUGAGAGCCCCGUCUGGUUGGAUGCCAAAUCUCUGUAAAGUUCCUUCGACGAGUCGAGUAGUUUGGGAAUGCUGCUCUAAAUGGGAGGUAUAUGUCUUCUAAAGCUAAAUAUUGGCCAGAGACCGAUAGCGCACAAGUAGAGUGAUCGAAAGAUGAAAAGCACUUUGAAAAGAGAGUUAAAAAGUACGUGAAAUUGUUGAAAGGGAAGCGUUUAUGACCAGACUUGGACUUGGUUAAUCAUCUGGGGUUCUCCCCAGUGCACUUUUCCAGUUCAGGCCAGCAUCAGUUUUCGCCGGGGGAUAAAGGCUUCGGGAAUGUAGCUCUCUUCGGGGAGUGUUAUAGCCCGUUGUGUAAUACCCUGGUGGAGACUGAGGUUCGCGCUCUGC